AGAGUUUGAUCCUGGCUCAGGAUGAACGCUGGCGGCAUGCCUAAUACAUGCAAGUCGAACGAGGAUCCUUCGGGAUCCUAGUGGCGAACGGGUGAGUAACACGUAGGGAACCUGCCCGCGCACCGGGAAUACGCUCUGGAAACGGAGAACAAAUCCCGAUGUACAGGAAGGAGGCAUCUUCUUUCUGUGAAGCAUCCUGUAAGGGAUGGGGCGCGGAUGGACCUGCGGUGCAUUAGUUAGUUGGCGGGGUAAAGGCCCACCAAGACGAUGAUGCAUAGCCGGCCUGAGAGGGCGGACGGCCACAUUGGGACUGAGACACGGCCCAGACUCCUGCGGGAGGCAGCAGUAGGGAAUUUUCGUCAAUGGGCGCAAGCCUGAACGAGCGAUGCCGCGUGAGUGAAGAAGGCCUUCGGGUCGUAAAGCUCUGUUGCGGGGGAAAAAAGGCAGCAUCAGGAAAUGGGUGCUGACUGAUGGUGCCCCGCCAGAAAGUCACGGCUAACUACGUGCCAGCAGCCGCGGUAAUACGUAGGUGGCGAGCGUUAUCCGGAAUGAUUGGGCGUAAAGGGUGCGCAGGCGGUCCUGCAAGUCUGGAGUGAAACGCAUGAGCUCAACUCAUGCAUGGCUUUGGAAACUGGAGGACUGGUGAGCAGGAGAGGGCGGUGGAACUCCAUGUGUAGCGGUAAAAUGCGUAGAUAUAUGGAAGAACACCAGUGGCGAAGGCGGCCGCCUGGCCUGUUGCUGACGCUGAGGCACGAAAGCGUGGGGAGCAAAUAGGAUUAGAUACCCUAGUAGUCCACGCCGUAAACGAUGAGGACCAAGUGUUGGGGGUGAAACCUCAGUGCUGAAGUUAACGCAGUGAGUCCUCCGCCUGGGGAGUAUGCACGCAAGUGUGAAACUCAAAGGAAUUGACGGGGGCCCGCACAAGCGGUGGAGCAUGUGGUUUAAUUCGAAGCAACGCGAAGAACCUUACCCGGCCUUGACAUCCCCCUGACAGUAUCUGUAAUGGGUAUUACCUUCGGGACAGGGGAGACAGGUGGUGCAUGGUUGUCGUCAGCUCGUGUCGUGAGAUGUUGGGUUAAGUCCCGCAACGAGCGCAACCCUUGCCCCCAGUAGCCAGCAGGUAAGCUGGGCACUCUGGGGGGACUGCCGUUGACAAAACGGAGGAAGGUGGGGACGACGUCAAAUCAUCAUGCCCCUUAUGUCCUGGGCGACACACGUACUACAAUGGCGGCCAACAAAGAGAGGCAAGACCGCGAGGUGGAGCAAAUCUCAAAAAGCCGUCCCAGUUCGGAUCGCAGGCUGCAACCCGCCUGCGUGAAGUUGGAAUCGCUAGUAAUCGCGGAUCAGCAUGCCGCGGUGAAUAAGGUCCCGGGCCUUGCACUCACCGCCCGUCA
rnacentral:rRNA from 1 species